rnacentral:rRNA from 1 species
GUCUACGGCCAUGCUACUCUGAACAAGCCUGAUCCUAUCUAAUCUCGGAAGCUAAGCAGGCUCGGGCCUGGUUAGUAUUUGGAUGGGAGACCACCUAGGAAGACCAGGUGUUGUAGGUC